rnacentral:rRNA from 1 species
GACGAACGCUGGCGGCGUGCUUAACACAUGCAAGUCGAACGAGUGGCGGACGGGUGAGUAAUACGUGGGUAACCUGCCUUCUGUUUGGGAUAAGCCUUGGAAACGGGGGCUAAUACCGGAUAAAGGGGGAUGGGAUAGGGGCCUAUUAGCUUGUUGGUGGGGUGAUGGCCUACCAAGGCGGUGACGGGUAGCCUGCCUGAGAGGGUGACCUGCAACUGUGGGACGGGGAAACGGCCUAGGGUCGUAAGGGGGGGAGAAGUGGGGGAUAUGGCCCAAUGGGUGAAAGCCUGAUGCAGCGACGCCGCGUGGGGGCUUAAGGCUUUCAGGUUGUAAUCUUCUGUCGCUAUCGAACGGGUAGCUGGAGAAGAAGCGACGGCUAACUACGUGCCAGCAGCCGCGGUAAUAC